rnacentral:rRNA from 1 species
UACGUAGGUGGCAAGCGUUGUCCGGAUUUACUGGGCGUAAAGAGCGCGCAGGCGGUCGACCAAGUCGCGUGUGAAAGCCCCCGGCUCAACUGGGGAGGGUCACGCGAUACUGAUCGACUCGAAGGCAGGAGAGGGUAGUGGAAUUCCCGGUGUAGUGGUGAAAUGCGUAGAUAUCGGGAGGAACACCAGUGGCGAAGGCGACUACCUGGCCUGUUCUUGACGCUGAGGCGACGAAAGCUAGGGGAGCAAACGGG